rnacentral:rRNA from 1 species
AGUGGGUGUAAUGUACCUACUAGCCUACGACGGGUACGGGUUGUGAGAGCAAGAGCCCGGAGAUGGAUUCUGAGACACGAAUCCAGGCCCUACGGGGUGCAGCAGGCGCGAAAACUUUACAAUGCGGGAAACCGUGAUAAGGGAAUCUCGAGUGCCAGCAUAUAAUGUUGGCUGUCCAGAUGCCUAAAAAGCAUCUGUUAGCAAGGGCCGGGCAAGACCGGUGCCAGCCGCCGCGGUAACACCGGCGGCCCGAGUGGUAACCGCUUUUAUUGGGUCUAAAGGGUCUGUAGCCGGCCAAGUAAGUCCCUUGGGAAAUCUGGCAGCUUAACUGUCAGGCUGCUAGGGGAUACUGCUGGGCUUGGGACCGGGAGAGGUGAGAGGUACCUUGGGGGUAGGGGUGAAAUCUUGUGAUCCUCGGGGGACCACCAGUGGCGAAGGCGUCUCACCAGAACGGGUCCGACGGUAAGGGACGAAAGCUAGGGGCACGAACCGGAUUAGAU